rnacentral:rRNA from 1 species
UGACCUCGGAUCAGGUAGGAAUACCCGCUGAACUUAAGCAUAUCAAUAAACCGGAGGA